UGUAUAUGCAACUGUAACAUUUAUUUUUUUUUUGCUUGCGUACUUUUAACCUAACCCUAAACGGAGCAGCACAACAUGCGCCGGACGAAUUUCUUCGUCCGGCUCCAAAUUGUGCGACGUCGUUUGGGAUGUAUAGGCUCACUCCUGACGAGUGACGUCACUACAUUUGUCAUGCGUUUCGGGUUCUGGUUGGUCCAUCAGUGGACAACGUAGAAGGAUGUUCGGUGCUGAGGACCACCGACAGCCACCCAUUAAUCUUUUAUCUAUGCAGCCACCGAAUUCGCUUGUCUUCGGGAUGCCAGCCGAUAUUACCCGAAGUUCCGGCUCAGACGUACACGUUGUCGUGUCAACUCUGUCCGGUGUAUCCACAACGGGGGAACUAAUCGUAUGGUCGACCAGCGACAUGUAAUGACGGAACGUUUGUUCUGCAUAGUUCGCUACGGGCACAUUGUUUUCCGGUGGACUGGAUGGUAGUAAGUUUGGUCGGAACGGGACUGACAACGACUGAUAAAUCUUGGCGUCUCCUACCGAGUGUCGACGACAUGUUGUGGCCACGUUUAGCGUCGACGAGUAUCUUAUUAUGGCCGGCCCUGUUCUAACGCUGGUUGGAAACGUCGAUGGUAUGUGAAAUUCAACCGAUCUUCGAACACUAACUUCAUCUUAUCACUCUCCGUCAACUGCAGCUUGAUGGAUUCAGGCGAGGAAUGUGGCUCUUCUGUGAUAAUAUCAAUUUUAUUACACUAUGGAACCUGUAGGAGGAGUUAGCUGAAGAAAAUAUGAAAAGGUGGCAGUGUAUACGUUGGCACCUCUUUUAUUUUCAUGGAUUAUUAGCUAGAUAUUAAAUUACUUAAAUGACAAUAAUAAAUUAUAUUAAAACAUGUUGUAUACAUUUUAUAAUUAAUGUUUAUAAUUAAUUAUAAAUUAUUUUAUAUAGUUUGCUAAGGUAAACGGAGUCAAUUUAGUAGAUUGCA